CUACGGGGUGCACCAGUGAGGAAUAUUGGUCAAUGGGCGAAAGCCUGAACCGGCCAUGCCGCGUGAAGGAUGACGGCCCUAUGGGUUGUAAACUUCUUUUGUACGGGAAGAAACCCCUCUACGUGUAGAGGUUUGACGGUACCGUACGAAUAAGCAUCGGCUAAGCUCCGUGCCAGCAGCCGCGGUAAUACGGAGGAUGCAAGCGUUAUCCGGAUUUAUUGGGUUUAAAGGGUACGUAGGCGGAAACUUAAGUCAGUAGUGAAAUCCCGCAGCUUAACUGUGGAACUGUUAUUGAUACUGGGUUUCUUGAAUAUUGUUGAGGUAGGCGGAAUAAGUAAUGUAGCGGUGAAAUGCUUAGAUAUUACUUAGAACACCGAUUGCGAAGGCAGCUUACUAAGCAACUAUUGACGCUGAGGUACGAAAGCGUGGGGAGCGAACAGGAUUAGAUACCCGUGUAGUC
rnacentral:rRNA from 1 species